CUGCAGUGGCCUGCUUUCCCCGCCCUGCUCAUCAGUCGGGAAGCCCGGAUUGCGGGCUAGGGGAAGCCACAGCCGCUCCCACCUGGCUCCCACUGCCCCCAGCUCCUGGGCACCUGCUCCAGUCCUGGAGCCUGUUCGGAUCCUCAGCAAAGCCCGAGAAGACCACGUCCUCAUGGGCGAAUAGAGCCAGAUUUCACAUUGAGCAGCUGCAGACGGAGAAAUCAGAGAAAGCACAACCCAGCCCCAGAUUCCGAGGGGCCUGCUGGGGACUCUCCUGCUCGAGAGGGAAGACCCCGAGGCCGGAGUCUCAGGCCAGGUCCUGGCUGCCAUGGGACUCGCAGCUGCUGUCCCCCGGCUGCCCUCCCCGCGGCCAGGCAGAUAAGGGCAGGCACUGCCCCAGGAGCACCUGCUGCCCCCUGCCGGGCUGCUCCUCUGUGGCCAGCCCUUCCCCAGCUUUGGGCCACCUUUGCUGACCCGAGGCCAUGUAGGCCCUACCUGGGCCUUUGUGGAUAGACACACGGCCGGGGACACCGCCUCUGCUCUCUGGGGACACAGCGCACCACCAUGCCCCGGGGAAUCGCCUGGCUGCACUGUGAGUACUGGGGGGGUCCGUGGAGACUGCCCCGGGAAGCCUUGGCCCAGAGCUGGGCUCUGCUGUAACCAUGGCAACCGGGGCCAUUCCUGCUGGUGAGAAGUUGAGAUGCUUCCCAGCCUAAAAGCCUGGGGACUCCCAUAGCUGCCCUCUGCCCUGCCUCUAGCCAACCCCAGCUCAGACCCGCAUGGUGGGUGCAAGUCCUAGGCUGGGUGGGCAUGGUCAGUGGGCGGUCAAGGGGUUGGGGCAAGGGGCAGCACCACCUUCUCAGGCUCACAGGUGCUGGGUGCACGGGGCGGUGGGCAGAGGCGACAGAGAGGAUUUCUGGCUUCCCUGGGUAUGG
rnacentral:lncRNA from 1 species